UGGGGAAUUUUGGACAAUGGGCGAAAGCCUGAUCCAGCAAUGCCGCGUGUGUGAAGAAGGCCUUCGGGUUGUAAAGCACUUUUGUCCGGAAAGAAAUCCUUGGCUCUAAUACAGUCGGGGGAUGACGGUACCGGAAGAAUAAGCACCGGCUAACUACGUGCCAGCAGCCGCGGUAAUACGUAGGGUGCAAGCGUUAAUCGGAAUUACUGGGCGUAAAGCGUGCGCAGGCGGUUUGCUAAGACCGAUGUGAAAUCCCCGGGCUCAACCUGGGAACUGCAUUGGUGACUGGCAGGCUAGAGUAUGGCAGAGGGGGGUAGAAUUCCACGUGUAGCAGUGAAAAUGCGUAGAGAUGUGGAGGAAUACCGAUGGCGAAGGCAGCCCCCUGGGCCAAUACUGACGCUCAUGCACGAAAGCGUGGGGAGCAAACAGGAUUAGAUACCCUGGUAGUCCACGCCCUAAACGAUGUCAACUAGUUGUUGGGGAUUCAUUUCCUUAGUAACGUAGCUAACGCGUGAAGUUGACCGCCUGGGGAGUACGGUCGCAAGAUUAAAACUCAAAUGAAUUGACGGGGUCAUAGCUGUUUCCU
rnacentral:rRNA from 1 species